CGCACAUUGCGCCCGCCAGCAUUCUGGCGGGCAUGCCUGUUCGAGCGUCAUUUCAACCCUCAAGCCCCAGCGGUUUGGUGUUGGUGGCCGGGUGGCCCUCGUGCUGCCCGCCGCCGAAAUUCAGGGGCGGUCGCCUCGCGGUAACCAUUACGCAGUAGUAACAUCUCGUAACUGGGACGCGGAGCGGCCACGCCUAACCCCAAUUAUUUCUUAGAGUUGACCUCGGAUCAGGUAGGGAUACCCGCUGAACUUAA
rnacentral:misc_RNA from 1 species